GAUGAACGCUGGCGGCGUGCCUAAUACAUGCAAGUCGAGCGAACAGACGAGGAGCUUGCUCCUCUGACGUUAGCGGCGGACGGGUGAGUAACACGUGGAUAACCUACCUAUAAGACUGGGAUAACUUCGGGAAACCGGAGCUAAUACCGGAUAAUAUAUUGAACCGCAUGGUUCAAUAGUGAAAGACGGUUUUGCUGUCACUUAUAGAUGGAUCCGCGCCGCAUUAGCUAGUUGGUAAGGGAACGGCUUACCAAGGCAACGAUGCGUAGCCGACCUGAGAGGGUGAUCGGCCACACUGGAACUCAGACACGGUCCAGACUCCUACGGGCGGCAGCAGUAGGGAAUCUUCCGCAAUGGGCGAACGCUUGACGGAGCAACGCCGCGUGAGUGAUGAAGGUCUUCGGAUCGUAAAACUCUGUUAUUAGCGAAGAACAAAUGUGUAAGUAACUAUGCACGUCUUGACGGUACCUAAUCAGAAAGCCACGGCUAACUACGUG
rnacentral:rRNA from 1 species